GCGCUUCAGCAGCACGUAUACUAAAAUUGGAACGAUACAGAGAAGAUUAGCAUGGCCCCUGAGCAAGGAUGACAUGCAAAUUCGUGAAGCGUUCCACAUUUUU
rnacentral:snRNA from 1 species